rnacentral:rRNA from 1 species
UCCGUAGGUGAACCUGCGGAAGGAUCAUUGAAUCUAUCGAAUCCACUUUGGUAACCACUCGUCCCCCUCGUCCGAUGUCGCCCUCUCUUAGGAGAGUGCGAUGCGGCGAGCGUCGGUCCCCUGGCUGUGGCUCCCCCGAGCUGUUGCUCAGGUCCGGCGGGCGUCCCUUCACAUGUGGGACCCCUUCUUUUUGAGGGGACAAUCCCCUUUGGAGGAUCCGACGUCGGAAAUUCCAACUCAACUCAACCCACCCCAAACUGAAACUUAUUCUAAAGCACCUUGUGGUUGGCAGCUCGUCUGCCGUCCACUCCAAACCAAAUACAACUCUCAACAACGGAUAUCUUGGCUCCCGUAUCGAUGAAGAACGCAGCGAAAUGCGAUACGUAGUGUGAAUUGCAGAAUUCCGUGAACCAUCGAAUCUUUGAACGCAACUUGCGCCUGAGGCUUCGGCCAAAGGCAUGUCUGCCUCAGCGUCGGCUCACCCCCUCGCCUCCCCAUCUCCUUUGAUUGGGAAGGCGGAUCUGACCUUCCCGGUUCCGCCGGUCACUCGUGAUUGGCGCCGGGUCGGUUGAAGCUCAGAGGUAUGAGCAUGGACCCCGUUCGCAGGGUAAUGGCUUGGUAGGUAGGCAUUCCCUACGCAUCCUGCCGUUGCCCGAGGGGACUUUGCUGGAGACCUAGCAGGAAUUCGGAUGCUUGGGCACCCCCCGACACCGAAACUCUUCAUUUCGACCUGAGCUCAGGCAAGACUACCCGCUGAACUUAAGCAUAUCAAUAAGCGGAGGA